CCCCGGGGCUUUGCACUGCUGCCAUUGGGGCGUGCUGCCGUGGUGCGGGCUCACGCAGCACCGGGCGCUGUGCAUUUCCCCUGCUUGGGUUGAUAAAAACUUCCACUCUGCAAAAUGAGUGGGAACGAGAGAAACCCGUGGGCGCCAGCAAGCAGAGAAACAAACGAAACCGAUCAACGGCCGUCGGAAGCUCCGCGAGCCGUCCUGCCCUCUCCUCCCUCCGCUGCCCCCCGUGCAGCCGUUGCCAGGACGCGCCAUGGCGGAGCAGGAGCUGGCCGCGCUGCCCCUGCCGCAGCUCCGGGACCGCCUGGAGCAGAAGCGCCAUGCCAACGACUUACUGAAAGUCAAGGUGGAGUUAUUUCAGAACCAGUACCACAAGAUGAAGCUGAGCAGCACGGACCUCCCACAGCACAGCUCCCCACCAGAGAUGGUACCCAUACUGACACGUGGCAGGUCCAGAUCCAGGCUGCGCAGUUCAUCGGCCUACUUUGGAGCCCUGACAGUGGAGCAGAAAUGUGAGCUGGCUGAGCGGGAGCUGCUGGACGUGAAAAGUGACAUUCAGAAGAUGGAGGAGGAUUCGGAGGAGACCUUGCAUGACCUCGAGGCAGUCAUACAAGAAGCAGAUGCUUGGUGGGCUGAUGUUAAGAAAGUUGUCAAUGACUUUGAGGAAGACAUUGUCAAAACCAUCUCCAACGAGAAAGGGAGCAUCACAGCUUCUGAGAAGCUGUUGAGAUACCUGGAGGAGAAGAACCACCAGAGGGAUCUGAUGAGACAGAAGCUGCGCUUAGAAAGCAAUUUUCUCAGGAGCUACAAGAAGAAGCUGCAGCAGCAGCUCAGGCAGAAGGAGCAGGUGGGAGACAUGCUCCAUGAGGUCCAUGCAGAGCUGCUGCAGGUUAAGAAAGCACAGUAUGAGGAGGAGAUUGAUGAGAAGAACAAGGAGCUGCAGCAGCUAAAGCUGGCCUUAGAGAAGAUCCAGAUCCUCAACUUCUGGAAGAAAAAGCUGCACAAUGCCAUGGAAACAUCUGCAGUUCUGAUGAAAGACAUCUCCCAGAGGAAAGGGAUGCUGGAGAAGAUCGAAAGAAAUACUACUCUUGUGAAGGAGCAACAAGCCAAAGAGGAAAGACUCAUUGGGUGGCUGCAGAAGCAGCUGUCAGACUACAGCACCCCUCCUGUGAUGAAUUACGUGCAGACAAUGAUUGCUGUUGCUGACCUGGAAAAGAGUAUCAAGGCUUGGGAGAGGAAGGUGGCAAUUGCUGAGAUGACCUUGCAAAGCCACCACAGAGCAUGGAACCAAGUCAAGAUGUCUGGUAACCUGCACCUGCCUUGUGUGAUGCUUCCGGGCAAGCAGCGGAAGCUGCAGGGGGAGCCGGCCUUGUGGGGAAAAGUGCUAUCAAAUGGGUAACUGUAGCACCCUGAGAGGUGCAGGGGGCUGAAACCACUUGUGCAUGAAAUGAUAAAUUAACCACAGCUCUGUUGUGAGUCUACCUCUUCAGUCAGUCCCAGCACAGCUUUCAAGUGCAGUUGCUCUUGGAGACAGGAAGCAUCUCCUCACUGUGGGAGAAGUAAAUCCCAAGUCGCCCAUCCUUAGAUGAGUUUGGGGAUUCACUUUUCAUCCUUGGGGUUGAAAUCGCCUUCCUGAAAUACCACUGCUGCCUGUGUAGAGGUCUCUUCUCAUUCUGUGAGUGGAGGCUGCAGCUCAGCUUGUGCCCUGACAAUCUACUCCUGCCCUCUCAGUUGUGGCCAAGAUCCCUGCUGCAGUGGGACACCAGGGCAUGCAGGAACGGCCUAUAGCACCUCAUGCCACUGUCACUGAGAAUGGCCUUCAGGAGCCAUAUCUCAGUUCCUUUAGUCUGGCACCUCACAGGGUUUCCAGGGUCACCUUUUAGGAGAAAAAGCCAGGUUGUGUUACAGCAGCCCCACUGCUCUCCCAUCUCAUGGAAUUCAGCGGAAUCCACAAUUUCUUAUUCUUCGCUCUGUAUCCAGAUGGAGUUUUUCAUCCUUCAUAGAUUCUUCCAUACAAAAGACAAGGUUGCUUCAGACUUGGGGUUGUAUUGCACACUGUGUGUUGUGUAGAAGGAAGAUAGGUGGCAGCUGGGUUCUGAGCAGGGCAGAGAAGUAGUGUCCACACAGAGUCCUUCAAGCAGGAGAUGACGUAUGAGCCAUGGAAGUAUGGCAACAAUGUCAGAGGGGCACCCAGGGCCAGGCUGAUCCACAGCAGUGUGUUAUGGUAGCAGCCAUCGAAAAGCAGUUUUGGCAGGCAGGAGAGUGAGGUCUGUCUGGAAAAGCAAACAGCAGUCACUAACAGGGGUCUGCUCGUGUGGUUGUACCAUUCUCUAAGGGGCAAGCAUGCCCUUGGCUAACGGACAGAUCCAUACUGCAUUUGUUUUUCUAUUAUAAGGAUGAGAACUCAAUUUAUUUCUAAUGUGUGCCCUUGCCAAAGGGCUCUGUGUUUAUGUGCUUCAUAACAGAACAAUUAAAAACCCCAUUAAUACUAAAAUCUUAGUGGGCUUGCAUAGAAAGAAGAAAGAACGGGUCGUCCGCAUAGAGCCAAAAGUAGCUAAAUUUAGAGGCGUAUCAUAGGAAUGGAAAGACUUUGAAAUUAUUUUCAAAGGCCUGAAAGAGAUGAGAUAGGAAGGAUUAUAGAAUGCCACAGGUUUUGUGUUCAGAAGCCAUCGCGGUUGGAUAGACCAUUACAUGAAGGCAGUCUGCUCUCGGACAAUACUCAAAAGCUUUCAGACCAGCAGCAGGCUCAGUGCAGCUCGGGUGACAGAGCCUGACCUCACUGGGCUGGUUAUGAAACCUUCUGGGCUCUGGUCUCAUCUGCUGAGAAAGAUUUGAUGGGAAGGACAAGUAUAAAUGGCUCAAGGAUCUGGUUGCUGUUUUCUCACCUCUGGAGAAUCAAGGAGAUGUUUUCCUGAUGGACUUACAUACAAGGGGUUCUGCAUGCAGGGCUUUUUUUUGUAAUGUUUUGGUGACACAAAUGAAGGAUGCUCUUCACUUUACGUUAAGAAUUCCAUUGCCAAACAGCACUUCAUUCUGAAACCAGCAUUUGCAGUCCUGCCUGUCUUACUUAGGCCAGAAGGUCAAAAUAGAUGGUUUUAACUAUUAUCUUAAACUACAGACCAAGGGCACUGAAAACAAGCAACUCAUUUGUUUUCUCCUUUUUGGAUGCCGUGAAAAUAACUAAAGGCAUUUAGAAUCUUUAAAUUUGUUUGGCUUCCUAUUUAGGUAGCCUUGGGAGCCUAAUUUUAUGUAUUGCUUUUCCAAGCUUGGCAGAUGAGGCAGACAGCAGGUCUACAUUUGUGGCUUUGCAGUCACAGGCGGAGUGUCACAGAUAUUUUCUCUCCUGAGCACAUAAAAGGCUCAGCAUUGACUGUGGCCAGGUAGUAAAACAGCAGCAGUAAUGACUUGUGUCCCACUUAGUGGCUUCCAAUGGGCGGACAGUGACGUCUCUCUCCUGGAGGCUUUUGGACUAAAGAACAUGAUCAUUCCUUGCUGAAUCUGCACAUGAAACACUUGGAACAUCCCGACUCCAUCCCUCCCUCGAGAAGAGCCAAGGUUCAGCUUAGUGGGACCAGAGUGCUAUUUCUGAAGAGCCUAUUCCCAGCAGCACAAACUACAUGCCUACAGAAAGUUUGAAGCUUUUAAUUUAAUAAAGUCAUUUCAUGUC